ACUAACAACUCGAGGGCAAAUGAUGGGAACAGUCUCUUGUUUAUGUGACAAAUAUGUAACAGGGAAGAGUGCUAUAACUGCGAUGGCUUUGGGGGUAUAGAUGGUGAUCUUUAAAUUGCCUCCCUUCUUCUUGCUGUUCCCUAGGCCACACCGUCAUGAUGGUUAGUGUCUUAAACGACUUGCAUGUGUAUAUUUGGUCACAACACUGCCUGGCUGCUGAGUCCCUGAAUGAGGCCCCAGGGGACACGCCUGCACAGGAGGCCUGUUCUAUUUACCACUGAGCUACGGGCACCAUAUUUUAAAGUACGGUGGGGCGCAGGGUCCAGUGAAUGAAACAUUUCCCAAUCGCUAGCUUCUGCCCAGAAGAAGAGCUGUUGAGGACUCAGGGGAUAUAUGCAGUUAAAGAAAUUCAGGUAAACAUGAUGUCAAGUGGAUACUAGGUAUGCUUCAGGUUAAAAGGAGGAGCAUAUAUUAUCACUCAUGAAAUGCAUUCAUAAUAGAGAGGCAAGAGGAAGUAGGCAGAGAUGGAACACCACACUGGAUGACUAAUCUCUCUCCUUACCUCACUCCCAUACUGAAAAUGAAUUUCCAUUUGAUGCCUUGAAAUCUAAAAUGAAACUUGCUCGUCUCAAAUAAAAACAGGAGCUUCGAUAAAUAUUUCAGAACAAAAAUCAUGUUUGAAUCGAACUAG